rnacentral:rRNA from 1 species
GAAGGUUUGCUUAGAAGCAGCCAUCCUUUAAAGAAAGCGUAAUAGCUCACUAGUCGAGUCGGCCUGCGCGGAAGAUGUAACGGGGCUCAAACUGGUCACCGAAGCUGCGGCUGCAUACUUUGUAUGCGGGGUAGGGGAGCGUUCUGUAAGCCUGCGAAGGUGUGUUGAGAAGCAUGCUGGAGGUAUCAGAAGUGCGAAUGCUGACAUGAGUAACGACAAUGCGGGUGAAAAACCCGCACGCCGGAAGACCAAGGGUUCCUGCGCAACGCUAAUCGGCGCAGGGUGAGUCGGCCCCUAAGGCGAGACCGAAAGGUGUAGUCGAUGGGAAACGGGUUAAUAUUCCCGUACCUUGGAUAGCUGCGAUGGAGAGACGGAGAAGGCUAGGUGAGCCGGGCGACGGUUGUCCCGGUUUAAGCGAGUAGGGAGUGGACUUAGGCAAAUCCGGGUCCACAAUCUCGAGACGCGACGACGACUGCUCUUAGAGCGGGAAGUCAUUGAUGCCCUGCUUCCAGGAAAAUCUUCUAAGCUUCAGGCUAUUCGAGACCGUACCCCAAACCGACACAGGUGGUCAGGUAGAGAAUACCAAGGCGCUUGAGAGAACUCGGGUAAAGGAACUAGGCAAAAUGGUGCCGUAACUUCGGGAGAAGGCACGCUGGUGGUAAGUGAAAUCCCUGCGGGUGGAGCUGAAGCCAGUCGAAGAUACCAGGCCCCUGCGACUGUUUAUUAAAAACACAGCACUGUGCAAACACGAAAGUGGACGUAUACGGUGUGACGCCUGCCCGGUGCCGGAAGGUUAAUUGAUGGGGUUAGCGCUUGCGCGAAGCUCUUGAUCGAAGCCCCGGUAAACGGCGGCCGUAACAAUAACGGUCCUAAGGUAGCGAAA